AAUGUUUUAAUUCUACGCUGCAUCCAGCCACGGUUUUACAUACAAUAGUUAAUUUGGUCACGGUGCUUGAACAAGUCACGAGUUACUAACAGCCGUUUGCAGAUUAAUGAGUCGAUAUUAGCAUAGUAUCUAACCUUGCCUUGUUCGCAUUUAUUUUGGGAUGUCGCCAGUGGCGUCGUGCUAACUGGUUCGUUCUCUUGCUGUGGUUGUAGUUCAUAUUAUCUUUGGUAUAUUGUAUGUACCGAACAAUGGAAGCCUAUUGCUAUUGGUUAAUUCUAUUGAUCGUAGCUCCUGAAUUUGUUAGAGGU